AUGCAAGAAAAGAAAUGGUAGACUGAACCAUAUAAUUAUUUUUAUUAUAUAUGUGACUGCAUCGUGACUAUAGGUCAACCAAGGUCGGAUCAUAAGGCACCUAAGUAAUCUAGUCGGGAUAUUCAACCUCUAUCUUUAUGUGAAAACCAAAUUCUGAACCUUAUGGUACGAACAAGGAUACUCAUACUUCUUUUAUGGAUAAGGCUAA
rnacentral:lncRNA from 1 species